UACACAUGCAAGGUCGAACGNGCAGCACAGGAGAGCUUGCUCUCUGGGUGGCGAGUGGCGGACGGNUGAGGAAUACAUCNGAAUCUACUCUGUCGUGNGGGAUAACGUAGGGAAACUUACGCUAAUACCGCAUACGACCUACGGGUGAAAGCAGGGGACCUUCGGGCCUUGCGCGAUUGAAUGAGCCGAUGUCGGAUUAGCUAGUUGGCGGGGUAAAGGCCCACCAAGGCGACGAUCCGUAGCUGGUCUGAGAGGAUGAUCAGCCACACUGGAACUGAGACACNAACCAGANUNAUACGGGAGGNAGCANUGG
rnacentral:rRNA from 1 species